rfam:Triticum aestivum genome assembly, contig: Triticum_aestivum_CS42_TGACv1_scaffold_515186_6BS
CGUAUACUCCCUCGCCCGAAAAUGAUUGUCGGUGAAAUGGAUGUAUCUAUACGUAUUGUUCUAGAUACAUCCAUUUUUAUAUAUUUCUUCAACAAGUAUUUUCGGACAGAGGGAGUAUACA